AUUGAACGCUGGCGGCAUGCCUUACACAUGCAAGUCGAACGGCAGCACGGGUACUUGUACCUGGUGGCGAGUGGCGAACGGGUGAGUAAUACAUCGGAACGUACCUUAUCGUGGGGGAUAACGCAGCGAAAGCUGUGCUAAUACCGCAUACGCCCUGAGGGGGAAAGCGGGGGAUCGAAAGACCUCGCGCGAUUAGAGCGGCCGAUGCCUGAUUAGCUUGUUGGUGGGGUAAAAGCCCACCAAGGCGACGAUCAGUAGCUGGUCUGAGAGGACGAUCAGCCACACUGGGACUGAGACACGGCCCAGACUCCUACGGGAGGCAGCAGUGGGGAAUUUUGGACAAUGGGGGAAACCCUGAUCCAGCAAUGCCGCGUGAGUGAAGAAGGCCUUCGGGUUGUAAAGCUCUUUUGUCAGGGAAGAAACACCGGCUCUAACACAGUCCGGGAAUGACGGUACCUGAAGAAUAAGCACCGGCUAACUACGUGCCAGCAGCCGCGGUAAUACGUAGGGUGCAAGCGUUAAUCGGAAUUACUGGGCGUAAAGCGUGCGCAGGCGGUUAUACAAGACAGGCGUGAAAUCCCCGGGCUUAACCUGGGAAUGGCGCCUGUGACUGUAUAGCUAGAGUGUGUCAGAGGGGGGUAGAAUUCCACGUGUAGCAGUGAAAUGCGUAGAUAUGUGGAGGAAUACCAAUGGCGGAAGGCAGCCCCC
rnacentral:rRNA from 1 species